CCGGGCGCGGCAGGCCUUGCGGCGGCCCGGCGGCCCUCGGGCGGGGGGAAAGCGCCCGCGGUCCGGCGUGGGGACGUGGCCGGCAGCAGAGCCGCGGGACCCGAAGCCAAGACCGCUCAGGGCAGCCGCCCCAGCUCGGCCCCACCCCUCCCCGCCCCGGAGCCAAAUGGAUCGAAAUGUCCAGGUACAUCUGACGGAUUUGAAACACUGAACCUCACCCAGUGUUCCCGAUUAUAAGCCGUCACGAGGGCAUCACAGGGAACCCUAAUUCCUUGGCCUGCCUCCUCUGAUUCACCACGGCGCAGCAGGGCUAGUACAUUGCGGGGAAGAGCUCCCUUCAGAGAAGAAACAAUGAACGCUAGAUACCCAGGAGCUGGUGGUCCAUCAUAGUGAUGCAAUCCUGCCAGGCAGGCCAUGUGAGGUCCUUCUGCCCUUGGCCAGAUCCUGAUUUUGCUCUAAAGGAGGAGCCCCUUGUACAGGAUCUCUUACACAGAGACAAUGAGCAAACCAUAUAUGCAAAUAAAUUUCUGACCCACCAUCUGCAUGAGCUGUCCAGAAAACCAAUGCCUUUAUCCAUGAUAAACGCCCUGGAAGCCAGCCUGCUGUCAGGCUCAGAAGAAACCACGUUCCUAUCUCUAGCAACAGUGCAGGAAGCGAAACAAUCACUUUUGUAACCAUCAGCCCAAUAUGGCCAGGACCUGAUGAUGAACUGCCAGCCUCCCCAAUUUUUGUCCCUCUUUCCAAUUUAGGACCAAUGAGAGAAAGUCAAAUAUGCCCCCCUAACUGAUCACAUGGGCUACCCCACUUUUAGUGAGCCCCCUUCCAGCUCCCCAAGUCAACAGUCUCCAGCCAGGGCAUACCUGACGGGUCUCCCCCACACCCAUGAAGCUUCCCCACUCCUCUGAGUGUCUGCCAGAUGGAAAUGAUGCUGACUGACCCCUUUGCUACACCCAGCUGUGAAUCAGUAGCCUCUGCUUGCUCUCCUUUGGGAGCUCCUUGUUUAUUUCCUCACAUUCCAUUCACCUCUGACCACAACAGAAGCAACCCUCCUUGGGAGUGGCAGAAUCUUCCCACACCCUUGCUCGCACCUGAACAAAGACAGCCCUGCCUGCACACCUGUGUGGAGGCCUAGCUUGCUGAAUGCCUUCCUGCACUCUAGAACAAAGAAGCCUUCAUCUUCCACUACCUGUGGGUUUUCUUCUGGCCAAGAGACACAUCUGCAGGCUAUGUUUUCUGGAAGUCAGACUCUGAGAUGCUGGAUUCGUGCGCAGGUGGUUGACUGAGGAGCGUUCCUGGGAUCAACACGUAUGGGGAAGUGGAGGGGGCACAGCUGGACGAAGGAAGAAGCUGAAAUGAGAUGCAGUCACAGCAAGGCCGCAGUUGAUUUUGCAGGGAACUGGGUGACCUGUUGUUGACCUUGGCUGCCCCAGGAAGGGGUCACGACCCUGAAGAGGCAGCUUUCAUUGUCCAGGAGAGGAAGUCCCCGGAGAGUGACCAGCCGCCCACACUCUAAGCAGGGCUGGGGGUCGGGGGUGCUUACGUCCCCGAGGAGGGGUGUGGGGAUCUGACCAGCCUGGCAGUGACCACCACAGAAUCCCAGAGCCCAGUCGAUCCAGAAGCCAAAGGAGAUCAGCAGAGAAAACAGCCUCCAUGGAGUGAGAGGAGGUCCCUGCCAAGUCAUAACUCAAGAGGCUUUGAAAGAGAAUAAGGGGAACCCAAAGGAGGUACAGAGAGACAAAGACAGCCUCCUGAAACGAACAAGACAUAGCUUCCAAAAUUGAAAGUUCAGGGACUUCCCUGGUGGCCCAGGGGUUAAGAAUCUGCCUUCCGUCGCAGGGGACGAGAAUUCAAUCCCUGGACUGGGAACUAAGAUCCCACCUGGGGCUACAGGGCGACUAGAGAACUAGAGUUGUUUUCACAACUACAGAAGCCUGUGUGCCCCAACAAAGACCCAGUGCAGCCAAGAAAACAAAGAAACCGAAAAGUUCAAAAGAGGAAGUGAAAAAAAAAAGAGGGAGUCUCUUCUGAGAACCUUCUGGAAGAUCAGGUGAUAAAACUGACGAUGUAGCACAAGAUGACUGUGCACAUGGAAAUCCAGACGAGAGACAGGAGAGCUGGAAGAUGGGUCCAGAGGACUGAGCCCUGACAACCGGACCUCCAGAGAAGACAGGGAGGAGGGUGCAUGCCCAGUUGCUUCAGACGUGUCCGACUCUUUGACCCCAUGGACUGUGGCCCACCAGGCUCCGCUGUCCAUGGGAUUCUCCAGGCAAGAAUACUGGAGUGGGUAGCCAUUCCCUUCUCCAGGGGAUCUUCCCCACCCAGGGAUGGAACCCAGGUCACCAGCAUUGGAAGCAGAUUCUUUACCGUCUGAGCCACCAGGGAAGUCCUCUUUUC
ensembl:lncRNA